AUUGAACGCUGGCGGAAGGCCUAACACAUGCAAGUCGAACGAGUGGCGGACGGGUGAGUAAUGUCUGGGAAACUGCCUGAUGGAGGGGGAUAACUACUGGAAACGGUAGCUAAUACCGCAUACCAUCGGAUGUGCCCAGAUGGGAUUAGCUAGUAGGUGGGGUAAAGGCUCACCUAGGCGACGAUCCCUAGCUGGUAUGAGAGGAUGACCGGGUGGGGGGGGUAAAGGGUCACCAAGUGGACUAUCCUGAGAUGGUCUGAGAGGAGGACCAGCGAAACUGGCGCCUACGGGAGUCAGCAGUGGGUAAUAUUGCACAAGGGGAUCAAGUCUGAUGCAGACAUGCCGCGUGUAUGAAGAAGGCCUUAGGGUUGUAAAGUACUUUCAGCGGGGAGGAAGGGAGGAAAGUUAAUACCUUGGCUCAUUGACGUUACCCGCAGAAGAGCACCGGCUAACUCCGUGCCAGCCGCCGCGGUAAUUC
rnacentral:rRNA from 1 species